rfam:Nicotiana attenuata strain TT chromosome 12, whole genome shotgun sequence.
CAUUUAGCUCAGUUGGUUAGAGCGUCGUGCUAAUAACGCGAAGGUCGCAGGUUUCGAGACAGAACCUGCAUUG